AGUAAUGUAUGGGGAUCUGCCCGAUAGAGGGGGAUAACUACUGGAAACGGUGGCUAAUACCGCAUAAUGUCUACGGACCAAAGCAGGGGCUCUUCGGACCUUGCACUAUCGGAUGAACCCAUAUGGGAUUAGCUAGUAGGUGGGGUAAAGGCUCACCUAGGCGACGAUCUCUAGCUGGUCUGAGAGGAUGAUCAACCACACUGGGACUGAGACACGGCCCAG
rnacentral:rRNA from 1 species